rnacentral:snoRNA from 1 species
ACACAUAUUUUGAUGACAUAUAGUUCAGUUGAGUUCAUCUAUGAUAACUAAACUGAUGCAUUAGUCUUUCGCUCCUAUCUGAAUUUAUGCAA